AUUUCGAAGAAGACAAAUAAAUCA
rnacentral:sRNA from 1 species